UGCGUAGGCGGAUUGGCAAGUCAGAAGUGAAAUCCAUGGGCCUAACCCAUGAACUGCUUUUGAAACUGUUAGUCUUGAGUGAAGUAGAGGUAGGCGGAAUUCCCGGUGUAGCGGUGAAAUGCGUAGAGAUCGGGAGGAACACCAGUGGCGAAGGCGGCCUACUGGGCUUUAACUGACGCUGAGGCACGAAAGUGUGGGUAGCAAACA
rnacentral:rRNA from 1 species